UGGCAGCCGGUUAGUCUCCACGCGCAUGCGCCCUCCCGCUGGGGCGCCCGCUUCACUCUGGCGUAGACCCCUCCCCAGUUUGGAGCGGCAGCUUUGUUGGACCUUGGGUUGCGGCUCAGCUGGAGACCCCAGUCACCCCUAGGACUGACGGACGUCGUGGAGCUUGAGGACGUGCGGGUGUUCGAUGAGCUUCAGGAUGGCAAUCUCCCGCUCCACCUGAGGGCCAAGAGGGGCGGGGACACGGGAACAGAGGAAGGCGGCCGCGCCGGCCAGUGGCCAGCGUUCAGCAGCAGCAGAGGAUGAACGCCCUUUCCACAGCCGCUCCGGGAGACUCGCCCGCUGCAGCCCACCUUCCCCCCCUCCCUCCUGUUUCCCACUCUGAGCCAGCACACCACAGAGGGGGAGAGCAACCUAGGCCCCACAGCCCCAUCACCCCAACUCGAUGCCUGGAGAGCCGGAGGCCAGAGGACAGUGGAGAGGGAAGAGGCUCCCCAGGACAGAGGCACUCCACCCGUCUGCAGCUGUACUGCAGCAAGAGCCUCAGCUCCAGCCGACCCCACUCCGCAGGCCGCCUCCUUCCCCUCCCCGGCCCUGGAGCCCCUCCAGCCUCUGUCCCUAUGAGAGCUGGAACACUGGGGCCCCAAACUCCAUGUCCCAACACUCGGGGUUCCGACUACCCUCAUCCCUCAGACCCAAGAGUUCAGGCCCCCAGCCCCUCCUCCUUCAGACCUAGGAGUCCAGACCACCAAACCCGCCUCCCUCAGACCUAGGAGUCCAGGCCCCCAGCCCCUCCUCCCUCAGACCCAGGGGUUCAGACCCCAGUCCCUCCUCCCUCAAACCCAGGAGUCUAGACCCCAGCCCCUCCUCUCUCAGACCCAGGAGUCCAGAUCCCAGCCCUUCCUACCUCAAACCCAGGAGUCUAGAACCCCAGACCUUCCUCUCUCAGAUCCAGGUGUCCAGAACCCCAGACCCUCCUCCCUCAGACCCAG